rnacentral:rRNA from 1 species
GACGAACGCUGGCGGCGUGCUUAACACAUGCAAGUCGAACGAUGAAGCCAGCUUGCUGGUGGAUUAGUGGCGAACGGGUGAGUAACACGUGGGUGAUCUGCCCCAAACUUUGGGAUAAGCCUGGGAAACUGGGUCUAAUACCGAAUAUGACCGAUACUCGCAUGGGUGCUGGUGGAAAGCUCCGGCGGUUUGGGAUGGGCCCGCGGCCUAUCAGCUUGUUGGUGGGGUAAUGGCCUACCAAGGCGACGACGGGUAGCCGGCCUGAGAGGGCGACCGGCCACACUGGGACUGAGACACGGCCCAGACUCCUACGGGAGGCAGCAGUGGGGAAUAUUGCACAAUGGGCGCAAGCCUGAUGCAGCGACGCCGCGUGAGGGAUGACGGCCUUCGGGUUGUAAACCUCUUUCACCAGGGACGAAGCGAAAGUGACGGUACCUGGAGAAGAAGCACCGGCCAACUACGUG